GACGAACGCUGGCGGCGUGCUUAACACAUGCAAGUCGAACGGAAAGGCCCUGCUUUUGUGGGGUGCUCGAGUGGCGAACGGGUGAGUAACACGUGAGUAUCCUGCCCUUGACUUUGGGAUAACUUCAGGAAACUGGGGCUAAUACAGGAUAGGAGAUCCUGCUGCUUGGUGGGGGUUGGAAAGUUUCGGCGGUUGGGGAUGGACUCGCGGCUCAUCAGCUUGUUGGUGGGGUAGUGGCUUACCAAGGCUUUGACGGGUAGCCGGCCUGGGAGGGGGACCGGCCACAUUGGGACUGAGAUAGGGCCCAGACUCCUACGGGAGGCAGCAGUGGGAAAUAUUGCACAAUGGGCGGAAGCCUGAUGCAGCAACGCCGCGUGCGGGAUGACGGCCUUCGGGUUAUAAACCGCUUUCGCCUGUGACGAAGCGUGAGUGACGGUAAUGGGUAAAGAAGCACCGGCUAACUACGUG
rnacentral:rRNA from 1 species